rnacentral:rRNA from 1 species
GAGCUUGGCGGUGUUUUAGACCUCUCAGGGGAACCUGUCUCAUAAUCGACAAUCCACGUUAAACCUAACCUUUGAUAGCAAUUCAGCCUGUAUACCGUUGUCGUCAGGUAACUUCUUAAAAUAUAGUAGUUAGCUUGAAAAUCUUAUUAAUUAAAACGUCAAAUCAAGGUGCAGCUAAUAAAAAGGUGAAGAUGGGUUACAAUUACAUAUUUGUAAAUACGGAUAAACAUUUGAAAGAAUGUUUUAAAGGAGGACUUGAAAGUAAUUUUAAUUAUAUAAACAAAAUGAAUGAGGCUCUGAAACGUGCACACAUCGCCCGUCGCUCUCGCUGAAAAAUGAGAUAAGUCGUAACAUAGUAGGGGUAAUGGAAAUUGUUCCUAGGC